rnacentral:rRNA from 1 species
GUGUCAGCAGCCGCGGUAAUACGUAGGGUGCAGGCGUUAAUCGGAAUUACUGGGCGUAAAGCGUGCGCAGGCGGUCUGCUAAGAGAGGUGUGAAAUCCCCGGGCUUAACCUGGGAACUGCGCUUCUAACUGGCAGGCUUGAGUGUGGCAGAGGGGGGUGGAAUUCCACGUGUAGCAGUGAAAUGCGUAGAGAUGUGGAGGAACACCGAUGGCGAAGGCAGCCCCCUGGGCUAACACUGACGCUCAUGCACGAAAGCGUGGGGAGCAAACAGGAUUAGAUACCCGGGUAGUCC